AUGAGCAGCCGCCCUAGGUCGUCGGCGGCGGCGCCGCUGGAGGACGAAGACCUCCUCUCCGAGAUCCUCCUCCGCCUCCCCCCGCUGCCGUCCUCCCUCCCCCGCGCGUCCCUCGCCUGUAAGCUCUGGCGGCGCAUCGUAUCCGACGCCCGAUUUCUCCGCCGCUUCCACGAGCACCACCGCCGCAACCCUCCCCUCCUCGGUUGCUUCGUCCAAGGUAUCUCCCCACUCCGUUUCGAGCCUACGCUGGAGGCCCCCAAUCGCGUCCCGCAAGCCCGCUUCUCCUUUCCUAUCAACGCCCGCGACGCCUUCAUGAUCCUCGGAUGCCGCCAUGGCCUCAUGCUCAUCUCCCUUUGGAGGCGGAACCAGCUCCUGGUAUGGGAUCCCGUCACGCGUGACCAGCAUCGCCUAGACAUUCCCACAGGGUUCGACAAGGGGGAAACCGUGAUUAACGGAGCGGUGCUUCGUGCUUCCGGAGAGGCCAACCAUUUCCAGGUUGUCUUGGUAGGCAACAGCGACAUACAGCUUAGACAGGCUGUGGCCUCGGUGUACUCGUCGGAGACCGGUGUAUGGGGUGAUCUCACCUCGACACUUCUUCCGGCCAAGGAUCCUACCAGUGAUGUACCUACCAGGAUUUUGGUCAUCUGCUCUGUGAUGGUUGGGAAUUCUUUACUGGUUGCUUACUGGGAAUUGGUUUGGAAUACUUUAAUUUAA
rnacentral:rRNA from 1 species